rnacentral:tRNA from 1 species
AGGGGCGUAGUUCAAUUGGCAGAGCACCGGUCUCCAAAACCGGAAGUUGUGAGUUCGACUCUCUCCGCCCCUGCCA